rnacentral:tRNA from 22 species
GCCGGCAUAGCUCAGUUGGCCAGAGCACGUGAUUUGUAAUCUCGGGGUCGUGGGUUCGAAUCCCUCUGCCGGCUCAA